AUGAAUCAUUUCUUGUUUUGCAGCUUCCCUUUCAAACUGGGUUUUCAAUGUUUUUGGCUGAGGACAGCAAACCUGAGGUCAGUGAUGGAGUGUCCAGGGAAGUUGAAGUGUUCCAUCAGCUCAGGCGAUGGAGCAGCUGCCAGGAGAUGUUGUUCUAUUUUAAAGGCCAGGGCAGGGACAGGAGGCAUGAAGACUCCAUCCAAAUUAAACAAGAAUCUCUCCAACCUGAACAGAGGGUUGACUGAUAAUAAUGACUAUCUUCCUGAACUUCUCAAGAUCUGCUCUUCCAAAGGCACACGCUCGUCUGAAAGCCUAGGGCAUCCCAGUUUAUGA
rnacentral:lncRNA from 1 species